GACGAACGCUGGCGGCGUGCUUAACACAUGCAAGUCGAACGGAAAGGCCCUGCUUUUUUGGGGUUCUCGAUUGGCGAACGGGUACGUAACACGUGAGUAACCUGCCCUUGACUUUGGUAUAACUUCAGGAAACUGGGGCUAAUACCGUAUAGGAGCUCCUGCUGCAUGGUGGGGGUGGGAAAUUUUCGGCGGUUGGGGAUGGACUCGCGGCUUAUCAGCUUGUUGGUGGGGUAGUGGCUUACCCAGGCUUUGACGGGUAGCCGGCCUGAGAGGGUGACCGGCGACCUGGGGACUGAGAUACGGAGCAGAGUCCUACGGGAGGCAGCAGUGGCGAAUAUUGCACAAUGGGAGGAAGCCUGAUGCAGCAACGCCGCGUGCGGGAUGACGGUUUUCGGGUUGUAAAAAGCUUCAGCCUGUGACGAAGCGUGAGUGACGGUAAUGGGUAAAGAAGCACCGGCUAACUACGUG
rnacentral:rRNA from 1 species